rnacentral:rRNA from 2 species
AAGUCGAACGAAACUUUCUUACACCGAAUGCUUGCAUUCACCGUAAGAAGUUGAGUGGCGGACGGGUGAGUAACACGUGGGUAACCUGCCUAAAGAAGGGGAUAACACUUGGAAACAGGUGCUAAUACCGUAUAUCUCUAAGGAUCGCAUGAUCCUUAGAUGAAAGAUGGUUCUGCUAUCGCUUUUAGAUGGACCCGCGGCGUAUUAACUAGUUGGUGGGGUAACGGCCUACCAAGGUGAUGAUACGUAGCCGAACUGAGAGGUUGAUCGGCCACAUUGGGACUGAGACACGGCCCAAACUCCUACGGGAGGCAGCAGUAGGGAAUCUUCCACAAUGGACGCAAGUCUGAUGGAGCAACGCCGCGUGAGUGAAGAAGGUCUUCGGAUCGUAAAACU